GGGAGGUUGGACUGGCACUGUGGGAGGAUCCCAGGGCCCGGGGGGUCUCUGAAGGGCCUGCCAAUCUCCCCAGCCUGGGCAGCUUUUCCCCUAGCCCCUGGGAAGGCUGCACUUCCGGAAUUGAGGUGGUACUGGUGGGACGCACUUCGGAGUGGCUUCCCAGAGACCACUUGCCCACUCACAAGCAAGUCCCCAGACUGUGGAGGGGCACGUGUGGAUCCUAAGACAACCCCUCUGAGGUUUAAAGGGACACCAUGAUCUGACUGACGUGGACAGCUGCAAGAACAAAGGAUUCUAAGAACACAGAAUUCCUACACCAAGAAGUUUUCAACAAUCAAGCACACCCUCUCCACAUUUUAGUGCAAAAGGAGCCUGAAUUCUGACUUGGGGAAGAUGAUUCUCCAGUACAUUAUUGCUCUGCCAUCUUCUUGGUCAGCUAGCUUUCUGAAUAAAGUCAUUUUUCCUUGCCCCAACACCUCGUCUCCUGAUUUAUUGGCCUGUUGUUCGGGGAGCAGAAUGAGUUCGGACUCG